CUUGAUGGAGCCGAGCAGCAGCGGACGCUCCGGAUCGCGGUCGCGACCGUAGGUGGCGAGCAGCGCCUGGGCCUC
rfam:Streptomyces sp. 13-12-16 NODE_1273_length_10619_cov_28.941990, whole genome shotgun sequence.